AGAGCAUAUAUCAUUGUCGUGUUGUUCGUCGGGAUUUGUGAGUUGUUCGUUGUUGAGAUUGGUGUCGACGAUGAUGGAGGGACAGUCCGGCGAGUUGUAGAAUUUUGGGGCUUCUUUGAAUUGGUUUAAAAUUAUAGUUGCGGUAGUGGUAGUAGUACUAUGGGUUGGGGCGGUGAAAGAGAGGAAAAGAAAGAAAGAAAUGUAGAGGAGGGGUGGGUUUGGCAUUGUGAACUUGAUUUGGAAAUGGUGGGAAGGGAAUGGGGUUUUAAUGUAAAGGGUGUGGG
rnacentral:lncRNA from 1 species